AAUUGGCAAGUGCGCGUCAUACAAAUAAUAAGACCUGAUCUUGCAUUUCAUUCGUAAUGUCACAAAAUUCUGCUGUUAUAAGGAGGUAUGCUACAUCAGAGAAAUUCUACUGUUGUAAGGAGAUAUGCUACCUCAGAAAAAUUUGAUACGGAUAUAAAGUAGAGGAUAUUUACAACACUGUUUUGAAUUUGAAAACUUUCAAAUUUACUUUAUUUAGUCAAAAAGAAAGCAAUCUGAUAAAAAAUUAAAACCCCUACUGGACUCGAACCCGAGAUCUUCAGUUAAAUAGUCGACGUGCUAACCUACUGAGCUACUCGUCUAGGCGAUGAAUUUUGAAAUGAAUAGGCAAAUAUUGCUGAUAUUUAUAUUUUCAUCCAUGUUUUAAACUGCUAAAAGGAAGUCAGCCAUUAUCACGAUGUAAAGUAUCUCCUUACAAUUUCCCGCGGGACAUCACCUCUGGACUUCAUGAUAAUAUUCCAUCUACACACUGCUUCUAUGAAAUUUCAUCGAGCUGUCAACCCGAAUAUCUAAAUAUUUGUUUAUAAAAGGACAUUUUAAACGAAAAGAAAUUAAAUUACAACAAUAUCGUUUUGUUAGUUGAACAAUUUAUUUGGGAUGUACCUAUAUCAUUUAUUUGAACUAAGAUAAAAGAUAUCCUUUAAUAUCAAAUAUUUUUCUACGCUAAAUCGAUUGACAGAUUCGGGAGCAGAUCGUUUGAUUUUUUCUUGAUUGAUUGAUUGUAUCUUGUUUAACGUCCCUCUCGAGAAUUUUUCGCUCACAUAGAGACGUCACCAGUACUGUUGAAGGGCUUCAAAUUUUGGCCUAUGUUCGGCGCUUUGAGGUUUCUUUACCGUGCCGCAACUACUAUGACACGGGGCAUCAAUUUUUAGCUCACUUGAUCGCCUGUUGUUUGUCUGUAUUUUUUUUUUUUUAUUUUUUUUUUAUUAUACAUUUUCGACUUCUUCUCCAGAACCAUUGGGCAAAUCAUAACCAAACUUUGCCAAAAACAUUCUUUGGUGAAGGGCUUUCAAGUUUGUUCAAAGAAGGGCCAUGCCCCCUUCAAAGGGGAGAUAAUCACAAAAAUGCAAAAUAGGGUGGCCCGUGGAGUCAUUUAAAAAUCUUUUCAAGAACUACUGGACCAGAAGAGCUGAAAUUUACAUGAAAGCUUCCUGACAUAUAAUAUAGUGCAGAUUCAAGUUUGUUAAAAUUAUGGACCGCGGGGGUUGGAUGGGGCGACAAUAGAGGAUCAAAGUUUUACAUACAAAUAUAUAGGAAAAAUCUUCUUCUCAAGAACCACUGAUCCAGAAAAGCUGAGAUUUACAUGAAAGCUUCCUGACAUAAUGCAGAUUCAAGUUUGUUCAAAUCAUGGGCUCCGGGGGUUGGAUGGGGCGACAAUAGGGGAUCAAAGUUUUACAUACAAAUAUAUAGGAAAAAUCUUUAAUAAUCUUAGAAAAACUGAGAUUUACAUGAAAGCUUUCUGACAUAGUGCAGAUUUAAGUUUGUUUAAAUCAUGGCCCCUGAAGGUAGGAUAAUGCCACAAUAGGGGAUCAAAGUUUUACAUACAAGAAUAUAGGGAAAAUCUUCUCAAAAACUACUGGGCAAGGAAAGUGGAAAUGUACAUUAAAUCUUCUUGGCAUAGUUCAGAUCCACGUUUGUUAAAACCAUGGCUCCCAGGAGUAAGAUGAGGCCACAAUAGGGGAUCAAAGUUUUACAUAACUAAUAAAUAGAAGAAAAUCUUUUAAAAAUUUCUCCUUAAGAACCAUUGGGCCAAAGAAGUUUACAUUUGCACGAAAGUUUCCCGACAUAGUGCAGGUUCAAGUUUGUAAAAAUCAUGGUUUCUGGGGGUAAGAUGGGACCACAGUAGGGGAUCAAAGUUUUACAUACAAAUACAUAGGGAAAAUCAUUAAAAAUCUUCUGAAAAAUCACUGCACCAGAAAAGUUUACAUUUACAUGAAAGUUUCCUGACUUGGUGCAGAUUCAAAGUUGUAAAAAUCAUGGCCCCAGGAGUAGGUUUGGGUCACAAUAGGAAUCAAAGUAUUACAUGCGAAUACAUGUAUAUAGGAAAAAUCUUUAAAUAUGAGCCAAGGUGACUCAGGUGAGCGAUAAGGCCCAUGGGCCUCUUUUUAUGGUAAUCUCCGAGGACCCGUGACAUUCAUACCUGAUGCCGGGCGUUUUGCGAUGGAACAGUCACUUCCUGUUUUAACGACUUGGGUCUGGGUUUUUUGUGGAAACUAUUUUAUUGAUCAAAUCAAAAGGAUUGGGAACAACUCUUAAGAACUUGCAUGUCCCUCUCCUAGGUCUGUCACGGCUGGGAUUUGAACCCCGACCUUCCACAUGCGGGGCGAACGCUCUACCUCUAGGUCUUUGUCUGAAGGCACGUGUACUUUUGAAAAUGCACAACCCAUUGUACCAAGCAGAUUGAAAGGAAUCUCAUUUGUGGGUGUGUGUCCAGCACUCUCAUUUAAGAGGAAGACAGGUACCUAAACAAUAUUUCCUCAACACAACGGUGUAAAAAUGCUUGGGGAUUCGUGUUAUUGAAUGCACUUGGUAACGUGGGACAGUGUGGGGGAUCUUCAAUGACAUUUUGCCAUUAGAUUUUGUCUUUUGUAGAAUAAAUAAAAUCUUAUUGCAUCAGUAUUAACUUGUCUUA